rnacentral:rRNA from 1 species
GACGAACGCUGGCGGCGUGCUUAACACAUGCAAGUCGAACGGAAAGGCCCUGCUUUUGUGGGGUGCUCGAGUGGCGAACGGGUGAGUAACACGUGAGUAACCUGCCCUUGACUUUGGGAUAACUUCAGGAAACUGGGGCUAAUACCGGAUAGGAGCUCCUGCUGCAUGGUGGGGGUUGGAAAGUUUCGGCGGUUGGGGAUGGACUCGCGGCUUAUCAGCUUGUUGGUGGGGUAGUGGCUUAUCAAGGCUUUGACGGGUAGCCGGCCUGAGAGGGUGACCGGCCACAUUGGGACUGAGAUACGGCCCAGACUCCUACGGGAGGCAGCAGUGGGGAAUAUUGCACAAUGGGCGGAAGCCUGAUGCAGCAACGCCGCGUGCGGGAUGACGGCCUUCGGGUUGUAAACCGCUUUCGCCUGUGACGAAGCGUGAGUGACGGUAAUGGGUAAAGAAGCACCGGCUAACUACGUGCCAGCAGCCGCGGUGAUACGUAGGGUGCGAGCGUUGUCCGGAUUUAUUGGGCGUAAAGGGCUCGUAGGUGGUUGAUCGCGUCGGAAGUGUAAUCUUGGGGCUUAACCCUGAGCGUGCUUUCGAUACGGGUUGACUUGAGGAAGGUAGGGGAGAAUGGAAUUCCUGGUGGAGCGGUGGAAUGCGCAGAUAUCAGGAGGAACACCAGUGGCGAAGGCGGUUCUCUGGGCCUUUCCUGACGCUGAGGAGCGAAAGCGUGGGGAGCGAACAGGCUUAGAUACCCUGGUAGUCCACGCUGUAAACGGUGGGUACUAGGUGUGGGGUCCAUUCCACGGGUUCCGUGCCGUAGCUAACGCUUUAAGUACCCCGCCUGGGGAGUACGGCCGCAAGGCUAAAACUCAAAGGAAUUGACGGGGCCCCGCACAAGCGGCGGAGCAUGCGGAUUAAUUCGAUGCAACGCGUAGAACCUUACCUGGGUUUGACAUGGAUCGGGAGUGCUCAGAGAUGGGUGUGCCUCUUUUGGGGUCGGUUCACAGGUGGUGCAUGCCUGUCGUCAGCUCGUGUCGUGAGAUGUUGGGUUAAGUCCCGCAACGAGCGCAACCCUUGUUCACUGUUGCCAGCACGUUAUGGUGGGGACUCAGUGGAGACCGCCGGGGUCAACUCGGAGGAAGGUGGGGAUGACGUCAAGUCCUCAUGCCCCUUAUGUCCAGGGCUUCACGCAUGCUACAAUGGCUGGUACAGAGAGUGGCGAGCCUGUGAGGGUGAGCGAAUCUCGGAAAGCCGGUCUCAGUUCGGAUUGGGGUCUGCAACUCGACCCCAUGAAGUCGGAGUCGCUAGUAAUCGCAGAUCAGCAACGCUGCGGUGAAUACGUUCCCGGGGCU